rnacentral:lncRNA from 1 species
UGGCAGAGCAGUUUGACAUGGAGUUUGAGGACUUUGAUGAGGAUGACGACGGCUGAUCGAGGCCGAGCGUGGAGGAGAUGAUGAAAGAUAAGGGCCAGUGUGGGAUGAGAUUGUGAGAGAGAAUGGUCUGGUGCCUACAAAAUUGGAAGAGAUUGGGAAUUGGUGGUUUGUGGAUGUCAUGUUUGGGGUAGAGUCAAGUGUGGACAGUAUGAACAAGAGCAAGGAGCAUGGCUUUGUGGGGUUCAGGAACUCAAGGACAUCAUUUGUAACUUGGAUUGGUAAGAUGAAAUCUUACAGACUUGUUCCUUCGUCAAUCCGCACUUGAACUAGCUGCCAUGCUUAUGGCAAAGUAGUUAAAGUACAUUUCCGAUUAGAGAUGCCCGAGAACCAUUUUUAAACCCGAGGAAAGAUCUAAUCUACUUGUGGAAAUGCUAUUUCAUGGUUUCAUUUGUUGCUGUUGUCUGACAUAAAUAAACAAUUAAAGGGAAGAACAAUUUCUGAAACAUAACUGUAUUCUAGAUGGCUAGUAGCCAGUCUAGUAGGCAACUUGGAGAAUUCACAAAAUGCGAACGAACAGAGAAGGUUUUAUAAAGUAAAUGCUUCAAUAAGAAGAAGAAUGAGGCGAUUUCAGAUCAUGCUGGUAGCAGUUCCAAGCACACAAUACAUGUAACGUUUAGAAACUAGUCCAUCAACACUUCCAUAACCUAUAUUCGAGGCACCACCUCUAUAUUUCUUCCACUGAGAAUGUUAAAAUUCAGAUCAUGCUUGCAGUUCAUGUAAAACCAGUUCAAUUAUCACCUGCUGUUGCGGCAUCUUCAACUCCUAAUGCUACGUUUCGACUGUCCAUGUUUGUCAAAGUUCGGAAAGCAGUAGAGCCAACUCUUCAUCGGGACACCUUAACUUCAAUGCACGCUCCCAAUGAUGCAGCAAGUCUUGCAGCUAGUUGAUGUUUAUGCUGGAAAAAAAAACAAAGAAAGUAAAAAUAAGAGAGGAAUCUCAUAGAAAGCUGCUCUCCUCUGUUUACAAUGUCAUAGAAGAUGAGUUUUUUAAACCCCACACUUUUCUUUGUUCACCCCAUAUUCUAAGUGAUCACCCCAAGUUCUAAGAAAAUCCUACUAUCUUCCCAAACUACCCUUAAAUACACACCCAACAGAAAAAAUAAAUAAAAAACUCAUCAACCUCACACUCCACACCCCGCGAUCUUGCCUAUCACACACUCGAAGUUCACCUCAACAUCACAUUACUUAAAAGAGAUAAAAACACUUUUGUCAAAUGUGUAGCAUCAUUAUUUUAUUUUAAAUUAAAUUUUAUUUUAUUUUUAAAUUUUCUUGUUCAACAAAGCAAACCCAUAUGGCAAUUUCCAGAUUUCAUAUCAAUCAAAAGCUUAGGCAGGCAUUGUUUUUUUCCUUUGCAGUCAAGGUCUUUUUUUUUACACCCUCUAGUUUUGUUUCUUUAAUUUUGAUUAUUAUUAUUAUUAUUUCUGAUUUGUUUGAUUAAUUACAAUUUGUCGUAUUUAGUAUUUGUAAAGAGAAGAUGAGAGUAUAAUAUGUUUCUUAGAUGAAAGAGAAGAGUAAUAUGACAAUAGGAUCUAGAUGAGUUCGUGUUUUUAUAAAACUUAAUAUGAAGAGUGGUGGGGUGUAUGGGUGUGUGUAUAAAUGUAUUAGGAUGAAGUAUUAAAUUGGAGGACCUUUUUUGUCUUUUUACAUAAUAAUAAAACUUAAAGUUUGAUGAUUUAAAUAUUGAGAUAAACAUAAAAAGUGUGGGGCUUAAAUAUAAAAACUCAAACCAAAAUGUUUCUUUAACGCGUUUAUCACAUUAUUACAACUGUGACUCAGACAUCUAGCCGACUAAUCACAUUAAAUGCACUUGCAGGGAAAAAAGGAUAAUCAUCGGCCAAACUUUAGAAGAAAAAGGAUAAUCACCAGCCAACAUUUAAGGAUAAGAUUUUCCCAUCUCCCAAAUAUAAGAGAGACCAACGCACAAUCCGACCAUGAACCGACAACAUAAUAAACUCAGAAAGUAGUAGUGUUGAAGACACCGGAAGCAUUGAGACUUUGAGACACUUGGUCAAUUUUGGUGCAACCAAAACAGCACAACAAUGAGCUGGUGGUGGGCAGGAGCCAUAGGAGCUGCAAAGGUAAGCACUUUCUCCACAAACCCAUCAAUUUUUUUUUUCUUCAAUUGUUUGAGUUCCAAUGUCCGUGAUCAUCUGCUAACAAUUCUCCCGCAAAAACCAUCAACAACCAGAAAAAGUUUGAUCCCAACGAUGCACCACCCAAGUACCAGAGCGUGGCACUGGUGGCUGGGGUCACGGGGAUCGUGGGCAACAGCCUUGCUGAUAUCCUGCCGCUCCCCGACACCCCCGGUGGGCCCUGGAAGGUCUACGGGGUAGCCCGCAGGGCCCGCCCGGAUUGGAACGCUGAUCAUCCCAUCGAGUACAUCCAAUGUGAUCUCUCAGACCCUCAUCAAACACAUUCUGAACUCUCCCAACUGACCGAUGUCACACACAUCUUUUACGUCACUUGGGCCAGCAAGCCCACGGAAGCAGAGAACUGCGAGGCCAAUGGCAACAUGUUUCGAAACUUGUUGGAUGCUGUGAUCCCAAAUGCACCAAAUUUGCAGCACAUAUGCUUGCAAACAGGUCGCAAGCAUUACGUUGGUUCAUUUGAGAUGUUGGGAAAAGUUGAGCCUCAUGAGCCUCCAUUUCAUGAGGACCUCCCGAGGCUCAACGUGCCCAACUUUUACUACACAUUGGAGGACAUUUUGUUUGAGGAGGUGAAGAAGGAGGGGUUGACAUGGUCAGUGCACAGGCCUACUGUGAUUUUCGGGUUUUCGCCGUAUUGCUUGAUGAACAUAGUGGGGAGUUUGUGUGUUUACGCUGCGAUAUGUAAGCACGUAGGGAAGAAACUGAGGUUUUCGGGGAGCAGAGGAGUGUGGAACGGGUACUGGGAUGCCUCAGAUGCUGACCUGAUUGCUGAGCAUCAGAUAUGGGCAGCAGUUGAUCCUUAUGCAAAGAAUGAGGCUUUCAAUUGCAGCAAUGGGGAUGUGUAUAAGUGGAAGCAUUUGUGGAGGGUUUUGGCAGAACAGUUUGACAUGGAGUUUGAGGACUUUGAUGAUGAUGACGAGGGCGAAUUGAGGCCGAGCAUGGAGGAGAUGAUGAAAGAUAAGGGGCCAGUGUGGGAUGAGAUUGUGAGAGAGAAUGAUCUGGUGCCUACAAAAUUGGAAGAGAUUGGGAAUUGGUGGUUUGUGGAUGUCAUGUUUGGGGUAGAGUCAAGUGUGGACAGUAUGAAUAAGAGCAAAGAGCAUGGCUUUGUGGGGUUCAGGAACUCAAGGACAUCAUUUGUAACUUGGAUU